GACGAACGCUGGCGGCGUGCUUUACACAUGCAAGUCGAACGGAAAGGCCCUGCUAGUGCGGGUGGCGCGAGGGGCGAACGGGAGAGAAACACGUGAGUAACCUGGCCUGGACUGGGGGAUAACGUCAGGAAACUGGGGCUAAUACCGGAUAUGAGCGCCUGCUGCAUGGGGGGGUUUGGAAAGUUUGCGCGGUGGGGGAUUGAUGUGCGGCUUAUCAGCUUGUUGGUGGGGUAGUGGCUAACCAAGGCUUUGACGGGUAGCCGGCCUGGGAGGGUGACCGGCCACAUUGGGACUGCGAUACGGACCAGACUCCUACGGGAGGCAGCAGUGGGGAAUAUUGCACAAUGGGCGGAAGCCUGAUGCAGCAACGCCGCGUGCGGGAUGACGGCCUUCGGGUUGUAAACCGCUUUCGCCUGUGACGAAGCGUGAGUGACGGUAAUGGGUAAAGAAGCACCGGCUAACUACGUG
rnacentral:rRNA from 1 species